rnacentral:rRNA from 1 species
GUCUAGGUCCAAACCAACUGGAAUGCUCCUGAUCUCAUCUGAUCUCGGAAGCUAAGCACCUUUGGCUAGUUGGUACUUGGACAGGAGACUACCUGGGAAUACCCAUGCUAUAGGCU